rnacentral:rRNA from 1 species
UACGGAGGAGGCAAGCGUUAUCCGGAUUUACUGGGCGUAAAGAGUUGCGUAGGCGGUUUUGUAAGCGAAUAGUGAAAUCAUGUGGCUCAACCAUACUGACUAUUAUUCGAACUGUGAAACUUGAGAGCGAGAGGGGUGAUUGGAAUUCCCGGUGUAGGAGUGAAAUCCGUAGAUAUCGGGAGGAACACCAAUGGCGUAGGCAGAUCACUGGCUCGUUUCUGACGCUAAGGCACGAAAGCGUGGGUAGCAAACGGG